CACUAACCUGUCAGAGAGCAGAGCUCAGUAGAUCUUUGGGUAAAGCUCAAACCCACAUGAAACUUAGUAUGAGCAAAUUGUAGGCAUUCAUGAAACCCAAAAUAAAUGUAGCAAACUUGCAAAGGCUCAGAACUCAGGGCAGCCUGCCUUUGAAACUUCUUGUAGCCGUAACAACAAGCCAGGACACACAAUAAUACCAUUCUCUGCAUCACCUGAGAUUUGAAAGGGCCUAAAAGUCAAAAUGGAAAACAACAACAGGCCUACCCACUAUGCUGGCAAAACAUGCCAAGCCUUCUCAUCUAUCCCCUGUCUCCCUCCUUAAACCAACAAGGCUCUCGGAGACCCCACCCCCCCACCUUGUAAGAGUUUUAGACAAAGACAAGGCCAUCAGCACCCAUCUGAGCGAACUGAAUAAAGAAGUAAAGAAAAAACAAUGAAAACAAAUCUGUUCCCCAAAUGCCAACGUAUGUAGCCUGUAUGGAGCUUUGUCAGUGGUGGGUAUCAGAGGGUAUUUGUUUGCCCCGUAGGAAGAAGACAGUGUGUCCUGAGGGCAUGCCUGUGCACUGAGGUUGGAAGAGGCUAAACACUCUGGGUGGAGAGCGGCCAAUCUGGUGGUGAGAUCAGGGAGGUGGGGAGGAAGGGCCACAGAGAAUCAAUGACUGCAAAUCAGCGUAGCGGGUGGAGGACAAGCUACUGGUUGGGUUCAGAAACUUUCAAAAGAAAAUCUACAGAGAGAGGAGAUAAACUUUGAAAUGAGUUGCAGUACAACCAGAACGAAGAGUAACAUUCGCCAAAGUAUGCAGGCUACGAGGAAAGGGAGGGGGACACACACAGCCUUGGUUCAACUGGAGCUGGGUAGCAGGGUUCCUGUGGUAACCGAUACAGAGAAGGCGUGCGGCACUUUUUAUAGACAGACAUCAGGAACAAAAAUAUAAAGACUUGGUGGACCCGAGGGCUGAAGAGCUCUGAACCCCUUCCCCCCCUUUUUUUCGGUUGAAUCAUUAAGGUACUAGCAUCCUGGGUCUCCUUAUUUGUGCUCAACACCACCUGUGACUUUUGAUAUCUGUCCUCAAAGCUGAUGGAUGGGGACAGAGUCACAGCAAUGAAAGGGUAAGCAGUUUACCAGGCUUAGACAUAAGCUGGUGGUGGGCCUCUAGAUGUUCUCUGUAGGAAAGUGAGGCGAGCUUGCAAAAAAUCCAACGGGCAUGGGGCCAGGGAUGGAGCUCUUUGCCUCCCAAGCAUACGAUCCUGGAUAUAACCACCAGCAUCAUGGCCAGCAAUAAUAAUAUAAAUGAAAUACAGCUAAUCCACCCACAGGCCCUGGCUCAAUAAGUCUGUGUGGAUAGCCCAUGACUCUGGACAGAUGUGCCGCAUUCUAGGCCCUUCUGCCCCGAGGCAAACACUGCCCUUCUAUAACGGGCUGCCACAUAGAAAAAGGCACUCGUGUGUAGAUCAGUCUGAUACUCUCUCACUUCUUCUCCAGCCCCCAACGUGUUUUUGCCACUGAGUAUUUCCAAGUUGUCAAGGCUGGCGGGAUUCCAGCCCGGUCCCAAGCAGGGUAGCUAGGCAGAGCAUGACAUACUUUGAUUUUUAAAAGGUGAUUCAUGGAGGACAACUUGUGAAAGCCCACUUUAACUCAAUAUUCUCCAAAAUUCCCUAAUGAUAGUAACUUGGCAGCCCAACAAGCAGAAAAUCCCCAGACAACACCUUGAGGUGACUGAAUCAGACUCUGCAAAGACACAGACGGGGAAUUCAGAUUUUCAGCUACUGCCUCAUGGAUUCUUAUCCUCGGAGAAGCUUGGGAAAUAUUGACCUAAGGGAUGACUAAGCUCUGGGUGACCUCUCAGCUUGGUGUGUUCUCUCUGGCUGGGAAAUCUGAAGCAUCUUUCUGAUCCAGAGCAUCCGUUUCAGGAUGAAACCGGAAGUCAUCAGGCUGUGUACCAGGAGAGCCAUCUUGAAAGACAUUCACAAAGAUCAGAUGCAGGCGGCUCGUACUUCUUGGUCUCUGCCCACCAUUGUAGGGGGUCAGUAUGAACUGGAGUCUGAACAGAGUAUGAACACGCACGAACCUAAAAGCAAGCUUCCUAUUCCACAAAACAUUAUGAACUCACUCACUCAAAGUGCCGCAGAAGUCAUGGAGAAUACGACUCGAAGGCUUAUACACAAGGCCAGGCUUAGCUGUAUAUAUUUUCCGGGAAUGUUUUCCAAAAGAUGUUGCUGCCCACAAUGGAUUAAGUCCUCCUACCUCAAUUAACCCUCAAGGGAAUCCCCCACAGGUCAGUCUGAACAGGGAGGUUCCUCAGCUGAGACUCUCUUCACAGGAGAUUCUAGGCUGUACUGAGCUGAUGGUUAGAGCUGCCUAGGAAAAGAUUAUAAUAACAAGUAAUAAUUAUCGGUAGCUUGUAACUAAGAUGGAAUAGUUGUAGCUAAAAACUAACUUUUUUGAAUUGCUUACUUCUGGAAUCUCCUACUUACUGUUUUCCAACCAAGUUUGAUUCUGGAUAUCAAAAAAAAUGCAGAAAACAGAACUACAAACUGUACAGCAUUUUACUCAAAAUGCUUCUUCUCUCUUGCUGCACUGUGGUAGAUAAAGGGAAUUCAGGUUUGCAUGUGAUCAUACCCACUUAUUUUGUACACUCUAAACUGCUGAAAGCUUAUUAGGUAGUGAGCUUGUUUCUAAAAUUCAAAAAUGGAGGUCUCAUUGUUUUACAAAGCAAUACAAAAAUAUAUCCAAGAAAGAAAAAAGGUGAGUCUCAUACACGUAUCUCUGAUGUAAGUGUUCUUAUUGUUUCAUGAACUUAAAUAUAGCAUCAGAAAUGUACUUUAGAGUCGGGAAAUAAGAGUAUCACAAUGGUAUAAUAUCAGGUAUUAGGGAUUAUAAUAAUAGUAUCUUGCUGUAAAACUUAGAAACAGCCCUGCAAUGGUGGCAAACACCUUUAAUCCCAGCACUCAGGAAGCAGAGGCAGGUGGAUCUC